rnacentral:rRNA from 1 species
AAAUUGAAGAGUUUGAUCAUGGCUCAGAUUGAACGCUGGCGGCAGGCCUAACACAUGCAAGUCGAACGGUAACAGGAAGCAGCUUGCUGCUUUGCUGACGAGUGGCGGACGGGUGAGUAAUGUCUGGGAAACUGCCYGAUGGAGGGGGAUAACUACUGGAAACGGUGGCUAAUACCGCAUAACGUCGCAAGACCAAAGAGGGGGACCUUCGGGCCUCUUGCCAUCAGAUGUGCCCAGAUGGGAUUAGCUUGUUGGUGAGGUAACGGCUCACCAAGGCGACGAUCCCUAGCUGGUCUGAGAGGAUGACCAGCCACACUGGAACUGAGACACGGUCCAGACUCCUACGGGAGGCAGCAGUGGGGAAUAUUGCACAAUGGGCGCAAGCCCAAGCC